rnacentral:lncRNA from 1 species
CUGCAGUACUUUUUGUGUGGUGUGGAAGUGUUUGUUUUUUGCAAUAGAUUUUUGUUGCAGUUUAGGUUUGUAUUUUCUUUGUUUUGUAGUGCUUAUUAUGAAGGUUCGUAGGUUUAUGUCUGUAGGCCAGGCAGGUCAUUAAACUUAACAAAGAAUAAGUAAGUCGGGAGAGGGGAAUAGAAAUCUCCACAUACAUAUUCUUAAAAGCUGUAACACUCACCACAAAGAUCUGCUGAGUGAAGUCUGUGAGACGAACGCACCAAGUCUGGACGCUCUGUCAGGCUACAUUUUACGUUUUUGGGAGUGAGCAGGUGUUAUUCUGUUCCCCGGGUUGGUUUUGAAGUCAUGGCUCUCAAGUAAUUUUUGUGCUUCUCAAAAGUGCUGGAAUUGCAAAGAUCAACAUCAAAAGCUACAAACUGGAAACAGAGGAAGAUACUAGCCCCGUGUUUCUGAUUCAGUAUCACUGAAAUACUUUGGAACCAUAUAAAGGGCAAAGUACAUUCCACAUGUUGAAGGACAGUGCCUGGCCCUGUGGGGUGUCAUCCCCAAGCUGUAGGCAUAGUGGCAACCCAGGGGUUCAUCUCAACUCCCAUCAGAGUUCAAACAUUGAAUUAGUUGUGCAAUGGAAGGAGUAUUACCAGGACCCAGAUGCAGCCCAAGGAAAAAAGAAAACAAAAGGAGACACACACAGUUUUCCACCACAUCCACUCACCUCUACAUGGCGAAAACCAAGGGUUCACUCUCUGUCUUCAGGGAGCUCCACCCAGCAGCAGCGUUUGACAGAGCUGUUCACUUCCUCUUCCUGGAGCUGUGGCUUCCAGAGCCCAUGCUCAGCAGUUCCCCUCCUUCUUCGACUGCUCCUCUCUUAG